rnacentral:rRNA from 1 species
UGGGGAAUAUUGCACAAUGGGUGCAAGCCUGAUGCAGCCAUGCCGCGUGUAUGAAGAAGGCCUUCGGGUUGUAAAGUACUUUCAGCGGGGAGGAAGGCGAUAAGGUUAAUAACCUUGUCGAUUGACGUUACCCGCAGAAGAAGCACCGGCUAACUCCGUGCCAGCAGCCGCGGUAAUACGGAGGGUGCAAGCGUUAAUCGGAAUUACUGGGCGUAAAGCGCACGCAGGCGGUCUGUCAAGUCGGAUGUGAAAUCCCCGGGCUCAACCUGGGAACUGCAUUCGAAACUGGCAGGCUAGAGUCUUGUAGAGGGGGGUAGAAUUCCAGGUGUAGCGGUGAAAUGCGUAGAGAUCUGGAGGAAUACCGGUGGCGAAGGCGGCCCCCUGGACAAAGACUGACGCUCAGGUGCGAAAGCGUGGGGAGCAAACA